rnacentral:lncRNA from 1 species
GUUCAUUCUGUUGCUCAAGUAUAUAGAUUUCUCACAGUUGACAAUGCUUAAGGUCAUACUAUUAGACCCAAGUAGCAAGUCACCGCCCAAGACCAAGGGCAAGCGUUACUCAGAUCCCUCAGGGUCUCAUACCAGGCGGAGAUGCUGAUACCUUGUGGGUGUCAGGCAGUGGGUACCAGCCUAGGAAAGGAAUAGCCUGAUCAUUAGUUUGGGGGCUCCAGCAGCCGUACCAGCAUCCUUAUCUUGUGGAUGCCCUGGGUUUUUCUGGUACUGGGCUCUUCCCUUUGGUGGCAUCUUCAGCAUCAUGGCUCAGGGCACCUAGCACUGACUACUUUUAUUCUUGCCACCCCCAUCAUAUCAGAACCGGUCCUAACCCACGGCUUGCCUGUGACGCCAGCUCUGGCUUCUGCCAGGAACCUAAUGGUCAAGCUAAUAACAGAGUGUAGGGAGUCAGUGUCCCAGGGACAGCGUAGGGAAAGGAGCCCAUGGAAGAACCCUUUGCCUGAAUCUCAGAAGGAUGAUUCCAAGAGACAUUCUGUGCUCUUCUCAGAGAACCCUAUGCAGGACCAAGGCCUCAUUCUCCUUUCUGAGUGGACAUCUUAGUAACACAACCUUUAUGCUGAUUUUCCCUCAGUUCCUUAUCCACUCCCUGGUUCUUCACUCCAGAUCCCUUUUUUCCCUGAAAAGCUUGCCGCCCAAGAACACUUUUCUCCGAUCUCUGCUUUUUGGGGUUAUAGAGGGGAUGCAGAACCCAGGUCAAGCACCUGCUAAAUCCAGUCUCAUGAAGACAAUUAUGGCCCAUAAUCACUGCAGACUUCCAAGAUGCCAGGCGCUGUGCAGAGAACUUUGUGUGAACAUCAUCUUCAAUUCUCUCCAGUGUUUUACAUGGGAAGAUGCAACACUGAUCGAGUUAAGGUCAACUCAGAGUCAGUGGGAGGAGGCGGGUGAGAGUGUUCCACAAACCGUGGGUCACUCAUCACCAUUUGCAGAUAAGCCCUGGAAAGCACCGGGAAGUACCACUUCUGUUGGAGAACAGCACACCACAAUGCCAUUGGGCCUGAUGACGUGGGCAACCUGGCCGGCAGGGACGCCUGUGAGUUCCCAGGAUGUGCUGGUUCCAUCGUCCACGAUGAAUGUGGUUGUGAUGGACGCUGGGCAGCUCUGUCCACAGUUAUUCAGAGAAGACUCAUCAUGGGUCUCAAGACUCCGUCUACGGAGCGAGUGAGGCGGAGGCUGACGGUACAGUCAGCGCUUCGGGCGGCCGCGCCGCUUCCCCACCAGACGUGUUUCAUCGUCUCCUCGGCUCCCUCCGUCUUUCAGGAUCUCAUCAGGAAAAUAAACGCUGGUUUCAAUAAACAUGUUGUUCAGGAGGAAACCAACAGCCUGAGAGCAAGGCAUCUCUGGG